rnacentral:snRNA from 1 species
AGUUUUGCGCAGUGGCAGUGUCAUAGCCAAUGAAGUUUAUCUGAUGCAUGAUUAUUGCUAAUUGAAAACUUUUCCCAGUAUCCCGCCGUGAUGUCUUGAAAUAUAGUCAUCACUGGCAAUUUUUUACAGUCUCCAUGGAGA